AAGUCCCGCAACGAGUGGCAACCUUUUUCUUUGAUCCUACUCAAGAGCACUCUAAGGAGCCUGUCGGUGACAAACCGGAGGAAGGUGGGGAUGACGUCAAGUCCUCAUGUCCCUUAUGGGUAGGGCUGCACGCGUCAUACAAUGGUCGGAACAGAGGGUUGCCAACGUGCGAGGGGGAGCUAAUCCCAGAAACCCGAUCGUAGGCCGACAUGCCUCUGCAACCCGAGGCCAUGAAGCU
rnacentral:rRNA from 1 species